rnacentral:rRNA from 1 species
CUGUUCACACAUCCACUCGACCCGUUACCCUCUGUAGUUCUAUGGCGUGGGGGACCUUGUCCUCCUGCUGUGGUUCCGCAUCUUUACAACACACAAUGUGAUAUAGUCUCAUGGAAUGUACAUCGCGUUUAACGCAAUACAAUACAACUUUCAGCAACGGAUCUCUUGGCUCUCGCAUCGAUGAAGAACGCAGCGAAAUGCGAUAAGUAAUGUGAAUUGCAGAAUUCAGUGAAUCAUCGAAUCUUUGAACGCACCUUGCGCCCUUUGGCUAUUCCGAAGGGCAUGCCUGUUUGAGUAUCAUGAACACCUCAACUCUCAUGGUUUGCCGUGAUGAGCUUGGACUUUGGGAGCUUUGCUGGCCUACGGUCAGCUCUCCUCAAAUGAAUCAGCUUGCCAGUGUUUUGGUGGCAUUCACGGGUGUGAUAAAUAUCUACGCUUGUGGGUUCCCAUCAGGCAACCUUCAGUGAUGGAGGUUCUCUGGAGCUUAUAAACGUCUCUCUUAUCGAGGACAGCUUUUUGAAGUUUGAUCUCAAAUCAGGUAGGACUACCCGCUGA